AGAGUUUGAUCCUGGCUCAGAAUCAACGCUGGCGGCGUGCCUCAGACAUGCAAGUCGAACGAUUAAAGCUCUCUUCGGAGAGUGCAUAGAGUGGCGCACGGGUGAGUAACACGUAAGUAAUCUACCCUCGAGUGGGGAAUAACGUCCGGAAACGGACGCUAAUACCGCAUAAUGCAGCGGCACCGCAAGGUGACAGUUGUUAAAGAUUUAUCGCUUAGAGAGGAGCUUGCGGCAGAUUAGCUAGUUGGUAAGGUAAUGGCUUACCAAGGCUACGAUCUGUAACCGGUCUUAGAGGACGGUCGGUCACACUGACACUGAAUAACGGGUCAGACUCCUACGGGAGGCAGCAGUCGGGAAUUUUGGGCAAUGGGCGAAAGCCUGACCCAGCAACGCCGCGUGAAGGAUGAAGUAUUUCGGUAUGUAAACUUCGAAAGAAUGGGAAGAAUAAAUGACGGUACCAUUUAUAAGGUCCGGCUAACUACGUGCCAGCAGCCGCGGUAAUACGUAGGGACCAAGCGUUGUUCGGAUUUACUGGGCGUAAAGGGCGCGUAGGCGGCAAUUCAAGUCAGCUGUGAAAUCUCUGGGCUUAACCCAGAACGGCCAGCUGAUACUGCUUUGCUAGAGUGCAGAAGGGGCAAUCGGAAUUCUUGGUGUAGCGGUGAAAUGCGUAGAUAUCAAGAGGAACACCUGAGGUGAAGACGGGUUGCUGGGCUGACACUGACGCUGAGGCGCGAAAGCCAGGGGAGCAAACGGGAUUAGAUACCCCGGUAGUCCUGGCCCUAAACGAUGAAUA
rnacentral:rRNA from 1 species